AUGAAUUAAAAAAAACCAGAAAAGAGAAAAUUCACAAAAAAUAUCAGAUGAUGAAAUAAAAAAUAUUAAAAAUCUAAAUUAGAAACUAGAAAUUAUUUGGAGAAGAAUGCAAUUGGUCCCAUAAUUUUUGGACCAAUAAUAAAAGAGAUAUGAUUUUUGAAAUAAAAUGGAAUUAAAGAAAAUAAAAUCAGAAAAUAGAAAAUAAGAAAAAUCAGGAAGCGUUGGAUGUGGUUUCAUUAAUUGACGUGGUGCAUCUAAUGGUCCAGAGGCG
rnacentral:lncRNA from 1 species